rnacentral:rRNA from 1 species
UACGGAGGGUGCAAGCGUUAUUCGGAAUUACUGGGCGUAAAGAGUGCGUAGGCGGUUUGAUAAGCGGAGUGUGAAAUCCCCGGGCUUAACCUGGGAACUGCAUUCCGAACUGUCAAGCUAGAGUAUGAUAGAGGGUGGUGGAAUUCCGAGUGUAGCGGUGAAAUGCGUAGAUAUUCGGAGGAACACCAGUGGCGAAGGCGACCACCUGGAUCAAUACUGACGCUGAGGCACGAAAGCGUGGGGAGCAAACAGG